rnacentral:rRNA from 1 species
AUUGAACGCUGGCGGCAGGCUUAACACAUGCAAGUCGAGCGAGCGGCGGACGGGUGAGUAAUGUCUGGGAAACUGCCUGAUGGAGGGGGAUAACUACUGGAAACGGUAGCUAAUACCGCAUACCAUCAGAUGUGCCCAGAUGGGAUUAGCUAGUAGGUGGGGUAAUGGCUCACCAAGGCGACGAUCCCUAGCUGGUCUGAGAGGAUGACCAGCCACACUGGAACUGUACCACUGGCCAGACUCCUACGUGAGGCAGCAGGGGGGAAUAUUGCACAAUGGGCGCAGUCCUGAUGCAGCCAUGCCGCGUGUGUGAAGAAGGCCUUCUGGUUGUAAAGCACUUUCAGCUAGGAGGCGUUACUCGCAGAAGAAGCACCGGCUAACUCCGUGCCAGCAGCCGCGGUAAUUC